UGCGGGGUAGAGCAGAGGUAGCUCGUCGGGCUCAUAACCCGGAGGUCGUAGGUUCGAGUCCUGCCCCCGCUACCA
rnacentral:tRNA from 1 species